CAUUAACUCUGGACUGAAAAUAGAAAAGCUGUUUGGGGAGCAGGAGGCAUGAGGGAAAGGAAGCAUUUAAAUCAUCCUUGAGAUAUGGUUUAAGGCCCUAAUUUGUGGGGAAUUCGGACUCUGGUUGCAGCAUAAUUGGUGUUGUCUUUCUUGUUCAAGUCAUGCCAGGCAAUGCUCUGUCUUCAGCAAGGAAAAUGAAACUCGCAGGUCACAACCUGUGUGAGAGGUUUGGUGAUACUGUCUCCAUGCUCUCUACUACACAGAAGCCAAAUCAAGGACUUAAGGCUGGUUUUGUGGAAUUGUUAUGCUGUCCUACAAAAAAGCAAACGAUUGAGAGUGGUGUCUAUGUGAUGGUUCUCAAAGCUCAACCAAGAGAAAAAUAGCCAUGCCUCUGAAGAUCUCUGAAACCAGAAGAGAUACAUUAAAAUAGCUGAAGAAUUUGGACUUCCUGGUAAUUUCUACUCUGUGAUUUACCAGUUCAGCACAGUAGAAUAUAGUGUAGAAUACAUUGCUAUAUUAUAAUCUACCCUUCCAGGAGACACAGAACUAGUACUUCACCAUGUUUAUCAGAUGAGUUACGGAUUCUGUUGGAAUAAAAGAUGAGUUCGUGUGUCUGCUGUACUGGUAGU